rnacentral:rRNA from 1 species
GUGCAGCAGGCGAGAAACUUUGCAAUGUGCGAAAGCACGAUAAGGGAACUCUGAGUGCCUCCUAAGGAGGCUGUUCAGGUGUCUAAAAGCACCUGGAGUAAGGGCUGGGUAAGACCGGUGCCAGCCGCCGCGGUAACACCGGCAGCCCAGGUGGUAGCCACUUUUAUUGGGUCUAAAGCGUCCGUAGCCGGUUGAGUAAGUUCCUUGGGAAAUUUGGCUGCUCAACAGCCAAGCUCCCAGGGAAUACUGCUCGACUUGGGGACUGGGAGAGGUCAGAGGUACUCCAGGGGUAGGGUGAAAAUCCAUUAAUCCCUGGGGGACCACCGGUAGCGAAGGCGUCUGACCAGACCAGGUCCGACGGUGAGGGACGAAGGCUAGGGGCGCGAACCGGAUUAGAUACCCCGGUAAU